rnacentral:rRNA from 1 species
GACGAACGCUGGCGGCGCGCUUAACACAUGCAAGUCGAGCGAGAACCAGCCCUUCGGGACUGGGGACAGCGGCGAACGGGUGAGUAACACGUGGGUAAUCUGCCCUCGAUUCUGGGAUAGCCCGGGGAAACCCGGAUUAAUACCGGAUAGCCUCUCGAGCUCUCGGGCUCUUGAGAAAAGGUAGCUUCGGCCUCCGAUCGAGGAUGAGCCCGCGGCGGAUUAGCUUGUUGGUGGGGAAUGGCCUACCAAGGCAACGAUCCGUAGCUGGUCUGAGAGGACGAUCAGCCACACUGGGACUGAGACACGGCCCAGACUCCUACGGGAGGCAGCAGUGGGGAAUCUUGCGCAAUGGGCGAAAGCCUGACGCAGCGACGCCGCGUGGGGGAAGAAGGCCUUAGGGUGUAAACCUCUUUCAGCUCCGACGAAGCGUAAGUGACGGUAGGAGCAGAAGAAGCACCGGCCAACUACGUGCCAGCAGCCGCGGU